GUUGCCUGCAAAACGAAUCUAAGUUCCCCCUUAACCCUCUUUUUCCUCCCCAGACAAACCCAACCCAAAUGUGAUAGUUAAGGGCUAUUUAAAGGGGGUACAGCCCCUUUAAAAAAGGACACAACCUCCACCAGCGGAUAACCCCUGUACGCCCAACCCCGUGGGCCUUAAAGCAGCCACCCCCAAAGAUUGCGUCAAAGCUCCAUCAACCAAAAACCCCCAAAACCAAUGCGACUCCCUACACCCACAGCAGGCCAACCUAUAACAAUAGAUGAAUCAAUGCUAGAACGAGUAACCAGGACACUACGUCCCCCCAAGCGCCAGCCUGUAUACCAUUAACAGUAAAACCUCAAUAAUAACCACCCCCACCAUUGAACCCACCCUGUCAACCCAACUCAGGGGCGCACACUGGAGUGAUCAAAAUCUACAAAAGGAACUCGGCAAACCUAAGACCCGACUGUUUACCAAAAACAUAGCCUUCAGCCAAACAAGUAUUGAAGGUGAUGCCUGCCCAGUGACACCAUGUUUAACGGCCGCGGUAUCCUA
rnacentral:rRNA from 1 species